GUGGAGCAGCCAAGAUGGAGCCGGCAGUCGGCGGUCCGGGCCCACUGAUCGUGAACAACAAACAGCCCCAGCCCCCGCCACCUCCGCCGCCGGCAGCCGCACAGCCACCACCCGGGGCACCGCGGGCCGCCGCGGGCCUCCUGCCUGGGGGCAAAGCCCGCGAGUUCAACCGCAACCAGCGCAAAGACUCAGAGGGCUAUUCGGAGUCACCAGACCUGGAGUUUGAGUAUGCUGACACAGACAAGUGGGCUGCAGAGCUCUCGGAGCUUUACAGCUACACGGAAGGGCCAGAAUUCCUGAUGAAUCGAAAAUGCUUUGAGGAGGACUUCCGGAUCCAUGUGACAGACAAGAAGUGGACUGAGCUGGAUACCAACCAGCACCGGACCCAUGCCAUGAGGCUCCUGGAUGGCUUGGAAGUCACUGCCAGGGAGAAGAGACUCAAGGUGGCUCGAGCAAUUCUCUAUGUUGCUCAAGGCACGUUUGGGGAGUGCAGCUCGGAGGCAGAGGUGCAGUCCUGGAUGCGCUACAACAUCUUUCUCCUCCUGGAGGUGGGCACGUUCAAUGCUUUGGUGGAGCUUCUGAACAUGGAAAUAGAACACUGCUGUGUUCGCCCUGCAGUUUCCGCCUUGGCAGGAGGCCAGGCACAAGACUGACAUAUGGGCUCAACCAGUGCCUGGCCUUGCCUGUGUCACCUUUGUCCAGUGGACAGCAACAGUGCCGCCUGCAGCAGUGCUGUGAGGAAGCCUGCCAUCUCCCUGGCUGACAGCACAGACCUCAGGGUCCUGCUCAACAUCAUGUACCUGAUAGUGGAGACCGUUCAUCAGGAGUGUGAGGGUGACAAGGCUGAGUGGAGGACCAUGCGGCAGACCUUCAGAGCCGAGCUGGGCUCCCCGCUGUACAACAAUGAGCCAUUUGCCAUCAUGCUGUUUGGGAUGGUGACCAAAUUUUGCAGUGGUCACGCCCCUCACUUUCCCAUGAAGAAAGUUCUCUUGCUGCUCUGGAAGACAGUAUUGUGCACGCUAGGCGGCUUUGAGGAGCUGCAGAGCAUGAAGGCUGAGAAGCGCAGCAUCCUGGGCCUCCCCCCGCUUCCUGAGGACAGCAUCAAAGUGAUUCGCAACAUGAGAGCAGCCUCUCCACCAGCAUCUGCUUCAGACUUGAUUGAGCAGCAGCAGAAACGGGGCCGCCGAGAGCACAAGGCUCUGAUAAAGCAGGACAACCUAGAUGCCUUCAACGAGCGGGAUCCCUACAAGGCUGAUGACUCUCGAGAAGAGGAAGAGGAGAAUGAUGAUGACAACAGUCUGGAGGGGGAGACGUUUCCCCUGGAACGGGAUGAAGUGAUGCCUCCCCCGCUACAGCACCCACAGACUGACAGGCUGACUUGCCCCAAAGGGCUCCCGUGGGCUCCCAAGGUCAGAGAGAAAGACAUUGAGAUGUUCCUUGAGUCCAGCCGCAGCAAAUUUAUAGGUUACACUCUAGGCAGUGACACGAACACAGUGGUGGGGCUGCCCAGGCCAAUCCACGAAAGCAUCAAGACUCUGAAACAGCACAAGUACACGUCGAUUGCAGAGGUCCAGGCACAGAUGGAGGAGGAAUACCUCCGCUCCCCUCUCUCAGGGGGAGAAGAAGAAGUUGAGCAAGUCCCUGCAGAAACCCUCUACCAAGGCUUGCUCCCCAGCCUGCCUCAGUAUAUGAUUGCCCUCCUGAAGAUCCUGUUGGCUGCAGCACCCACCUCAAAAGCCAAAACAGACUCAAUCAACAUCCUAGCGGACGUCUUGCCUGAGGAGAUGCCCACCACAGUGUUGCAGAGCAUGAAGCUGGGGGUGGAUGUAAACCGCCACAAAGAGGUCAUUGUUAAGGCCAUUUCUGCUGUCCUGCUGCUGCUGCUCAAGCACUUUAAGUUGAACCAUGUCUACCAGUUUGAAUACAUGGCCCAGCACCUGGUGUUUGCCAACUGCAUUCCUUUGAUCCUAAAGUUCUUCAAUCAAAACAUCAUGUCCUACAUCACUGCCAAGAACAGCAUUUCUGUCCUGGAUUACCCUCACUGCGUGGUGCAUGAGCUGCCAGAGCUGACGGCGGAGAGUUUGGAAGCAGGUGACAGUAACCAAUUUUGCUGGAGGAACCUCUUUUCUUGUAUCAAUCUGCUUCGGAUCUUGAACAAGCUGACAAAGUGGAAGCAUUCAAGGACAAUGAUGCUGGUGGUGUUCAAGUCAGCCCCCAUCUUGAAGCGGGCCCUAAAGGUGAAACAAGCCAUGAUGCAGCUCUAUGUGCUGAAGCUGCUCAAGGUACAGACCAAAUACUUGGGGCGGCAGUGGCGAAAGAGCAACAUGAAGACCAUGUCUGCCAUCUACCAGAAGGUGCGGCAUCGGCUGAACGACGACUGGGCAUACGGCAAUGAUCUUGAUGCCCGGCCUUGGGACUUCCAGGCAGAGGAGUGUGCCCUUCGUGCCAACAUUGAACGCUUCAACGCCCGGCGCUAUGACCGGGCCCACAGCAACCCUGACUUCCUGCCAGUGGACAACUGCCUGCAGAGUGUCCUGGGCCAACGGGUGGACCUCCCUGAGGACUUUCAGAUGAACUAUGACCUCUGGUUAGAAAGGGAGGUCUUCUCCAAGCCCAUUUCCUGGGAAGAGCUGCUGCAGUGAGGCUGUUGGUUAGGGGACUGAAAUGGAGAGAAAAGAUGAUCUGAAGGUACCUGUGGGACUGUCCUAGUUCAUUGCUGCAGUGCUCCCAUCCCCCACCAGGUGGCAGCACAGCCCCACUGUGUCUUCCGCAGUCUGUCCUGGGCUUGGGUGAGCCCAGCUUGACCUCCCCUUGGUUCCCAGGGUCCUGCUCCGAAGCAGUCAUCUCUGCCUGAGAUCCAUUCUUCCUUUACUUCCCCCACCCUCCUCUCUUGGAUAUGGUUGGUUUUGGCUCAUUUCACAAUCAGCCCAAGGCUGGGAAAGCUGGAAUGGGAUGGGAACCCCUCCGCCGUGCAUCUGAAUUUCAGGGGUCAUGCUGAUGCCUCUCGAGACAUACAAAUCCUUGCUUUGUCAGCUUGCAAAGGAGGAGAGUUUAGGAUUAGGGCCAGGGCCAGAAAGUCGGUAUCUUGGUUGUGCUCUGGGGUGGGGGUGGGGUGUUUCUGAUGUUAUUCCAGCCUCCUGCUACAUUAUAUCCAGAAGUAAUUGCGGAGGCUCCUUCAGCUGCCUCAGCACUUUGAUUUUGGACAGGGACAAGGUAGGAAGAGAAGCUUCCCUUAACCAGAGGGGCCAUUUUUCCUUUUGGCUUUCGAGGGCCUGUAAAUAUCUAUAUAUAAUUCUGUGUGUAUUCUGUGUCAUGUUGGGGUUUUUAAUGUGAUUGUGUAUUCUGUUUACAUUAAAAAGAAGCAAAAAUAA